ACAACGGAAUCUUGGAGAAUUGCAUGUAAGUGCAAGCCAGAUUUAACUCUCUUUCUAAGUAGUAUUGCUUGGACUGAGAAAUUGCUAAAUCAAACCUGUGAUAGGACUGGUUAUUUGGGUAUCUCUCUUUGUCAUUGUUGCCUCUUACUGUUACAUUGCUUUCUGUGUUAUCUUUGGAGGCCCAGAUGUUCUCAGAUAAUUCACAUUGCCCUGACUGUGGACAACAGUGGUUUCCUAGUUUAGAACUAGGCCACUGGUUGUACCAAACUGAACUUAUUGAAAAUGAAUGUUACCAAGUAUUCUUAGACCUUAUUAACAGAGCUGAUUAUUGCCCCAAGUGUUAUCCUGAUAAUCCUGAUAAUCCUGAUAAUAGAAGCCUUGUCUUUCCUUGCUCUUUCCCACUUGAAUGGGCUCCCCAAAAUCUUACCAGGUGGACCUUUGGAAAAGCUUGCCACCCAUUUCUUCUGGGUCCUCCACUGGUUUGAAAAAAGAUACAUGCCUCUAGAAUAGCUGGUUUUAACCCAGCAUUACAGUUAAUCUUGGCCAGAACAGACACAACCUUAAACAAAAAACUUGGCCAAAGCAAAUAACUUCUUAAAGAGUCACAA